UCUUCCUUGAUAAUCAGCCAAGUGGAAACAACAUCUUGACGCAAUGUUUCAAUAAGUUUUCUGUUGCUGCUACAUCUGAUCUGAUGAAAUGAGAAAGAUCUGUCAGUAUUAUUAUAGUCCUCAACGUAAAGAAGUUUGGAGUUUUCUACACUCCUCAGAAUUAUAGUUAUCAUUGUGUCAACACAACUACCUUUACCUGCUGAUGGACACACCCUGUGUGUACACAAAUUCUUUGGGAGAUGCAUCAAGAAGGGCAGCUGUGAAGUCUUUAAUUGCUACAGAAAUAUUUUGAGAGAUAA